rnacentral:miRNA from 1 species
GUUUGGACAUAGUGUGGCUGG